rnacentral:rRNA from 1 species
UACAGAGGUCCCAAGCGUUGUUCGGAUUCACUGGGCGUAAAGGGUGCGUAGGCGGUCGGGUAAGUCUGAUGUGAAAUCUAACAGCUUAACUGUGAAACUGCAUUGGAUACUAUCCGGCUCGAGGAAUGGAGGGGAGACUGGAAUACUUGGUGUAGCAGUGAAAUGCGUAAAUAUCAAGUGGAACACCAGUGGCGAAGGCGAGUCUCUGGACAUUUCCUGACGCUGAGGCACGAAAGCCAGGGGAGCAAACGGG